rnacentral:rRNA from 1 species
CGGCGAGUGAAGCGGCAACAGCUCAAAUUUGAAAUCUUGGCCUCACGGUCCGAAUUGUAAUUUGUAGAGGAUGUUUCUGGCGACGUGUCUUCCGAGUUCCCUGGAACGGGACGCCAUAGAGGGUGAGAGCCCCGUCCGGUCGUACACCUAGCCUCUGUGAAACUCCUUCGACGAGUCGAGUAGUUUGGGAAUGCUGCUCUAAAUGGGAGGUAUACGUCUUCUAAAGCUAAAUACCGGCCAGAGACCGAUAGCGCACAAGUAGAGUGAUCGAAAGAUGAAAAGCACUUUGAAAAGAGGGUUAAAUAGUACGUGAAAUUGCUGAAAGGGAAGCGCUUAUGACCAGACUUGGGCUCGGUGAAUCAUCCGGCGUUCUCGCCGGUGCACUUUGCCGUCCCAGGCCAGCAUCAGUUCGCGCCGGGGGAUAAAGGUUUCGGGAAUGUAGCUCCCUCGGGAGUGUUAUAGCCCGUUGCGUAAUACCCUGGCGUGGACUGAGGUCCGCGCUCUGCAAGGAUGCUGG